rfam:Salmo salar isolate Sally breed double haploid chromosome ssa09, whole genome shotgun sequence.
AAAAAGGUUCUACUUGGAACCAAAAAGGGGUUCUUCAAAGGGUUCU